GGAAAAUAUAAAUUACUGGCGCGCCGGCGAGGACGGAAAAAAUCACCACCGGAUUAUUAAUCCCGCAAAACCUCCUCGAUCAAACUUAUGCAGCAAAAUACUCUUGGAAAAUUUUUCCGGAAUUACGCAAAUUUUGCUUCAGCAAUUUGCUUCUCAACUAUAGAAAUCGGACAAAAUUCAUGCAAAACUAGAAUUGAACGACGGGAAUUUGGAUACAAAUGAAUCGGAAGGGUAUAUUUGUCAUUCAAUAAAAGUUACAAGAGAUACCCGACCCGACAUUAGUGAUAAGGUUUACUAAUAUCCGACUCGGAUCCGAAAUAACCGCUUUUCAGAAAAUUAGUUUUACCUAUUGUUGUUGUUGGACAUUGGCACUCGGAAAGCUGGCAGCCUUCUGCUGCGACGGAGAUGUAGAUGGAGACGGGGCAGGAUGGCGGCGACCGGCCGGAGAGGUGAAGACUG
rnacentral:lncRNA from 1 species